UGCAGUCGAGCGAACAGAAAAGGAGCUUGCUCCUUUGACGUUAGCGGCGGACGGGUGAGUAACACGUGGGCAACCUACCCUAUAGUUUGGGAUAACUCCGGGAAACCGGGGCUAAUACCGAAUAAUCUCUUUUGCUUCAUGGUGAAAGACUGAAAGACGGUUUCGGCUGUCGCUAUAGGAUGGGCCCGCGGCGCAUUAGCUAGUUGGUGAGGUAACGGCUCACCAAGGCGACGAUGCGUAGCCGACCUGAGAGGGUGAUCGGCCACACUGGGACUGAGACACGGCCCAGACUCCUACGGGAGGCAGCAGUAGGGAAUCUUCCACAAUGGGCGAAAGCCUGAUGGAGCAACGCCGCGUGAGUGAAGAAGGUUUUCGGAUCGUAAAACUCUGUUGUAAGGGAAGAACAAGUACAGUAGUAACUGGCUGUACCUUGACGGUACCUUAUUAGAAAGCCACGGCUAACUACGUGCCAGCAGCCGCGGUAAUACGUAGGUGGCAAGCGUUGUCCGGAAUUAUUGGGCGUAAAGCGCGCGCAGGCGGUCCUUUAAGUCUGAUGUGAAAGCCCACGGCUCAACCGUGGAGGGUCAUUGGAAAACUGGGGGACUUGAGUGCAGAAGAGGAAAAGUGGAAUUCCAAGUGUAGCGGUGAAAUGCGUAGAGAUUUGGA
rnacentral:rRNA from 2 species